ensembl:lncRNA
CCCACAUCCAUCAGACGUUGGCUUUGGCUGCCCCACAUCCGUUGGGAUAUUGGCUUUGGCCGCCCCACAUCUAUCAGACGUUGGUUUGGCUGCCCCACAUCUACCGGACGUUGGCUUUGGCCGCCCCAUAUCUAUCAGAGGUUGGCUUUGGCCGCCCCACAUCCAUCGGACGUUGGUUUGGCUGCCCCACAUCCAUUAGGAUAUUGGCUUUGGCUGCCCCACAUCUAUCAGACGUUGACUUUGGCCGCCCCACAUCCAUCAGACGUUGGUUUGGCUGCCCCACAUCUACCGGACGUUGGCUUUGGCUGCCCCACAUCCAUCAGCCGUUGGUUUGGCUGCCCCACAUCUACCGGACGUUGGCUUUUGCUGCCCCACAUCCAUCAGCCGUUGGUUUGGCUGCCCCACAUCUACCGGACGUUGGCUUUGGCUGCCCCACAUCCAUCAGCCGUUGGUUUGGCUGCCCCACAUCUACCGGACGUUGGCUUUGGCCGCCCCACAUCCAUCAGACGUUGGCUUUGGCCGCCCCACAUCCAUCGGACGUUGACUUUGGCUGCCCCACAUCCAUCGGACGUUGGUUUGGCUGCCCCACAUCCAUUGGGAUAUUGGCUUUGGCCACCCCACAUCCCAUCGGACGACGGUUUGGCUGCCCCACAUCCCAUAGGAUGCUGAAUAUGGCCACCCCACAACCCCAAUAUGGCCACCCCAUAUCCCUAAUUAAUUUACCCACCCCAUAUCCUUAAUUUGGCCACCCCACAUCCCAUAGGACGACGGUUUGGCUGCCCCACAUCCCAUAGGAUGCUGAAUAUGGCCACCCCACAUCCCAUAGGAUGACAGUUUGGCUGCCCCACAUCCCAUAGGAUGCUGAAUAUGGCCACCCCACAACCCUAAUAUGGCCACCCCACAUCCCAUAGGAUGACGGUUUGGCUGCCCCACAUCCCAUAGGGUGCUGAAUUUCCCCCCCCCAACCCUAAUAUGGCCACCCCACAACCUUAAUAUGGCCACCCCAUAUCCCUAAUUAAUUUGGCCACCCCAUAUCCUUAAUUUGGCCACCCCACAACCCUAAUAUGGCCACCCCACAUCCCAUAG